GACGAACGCUUUCGGCGUGCUUAACACAUGCAAGUCGAGCGGUAAGGCCUUUCGGGGUACACGAGCGGCGAACGGGUGAGUAACACGUGGGUGAUCUGCCCUGCACUCUGGGAUAAGCUUGGGAAACUGGGUCUAAUACCGGAUAUGACCACAGCAUGCAUGUGUUGUGGUGGAAAGAUUUAUCGGUGCAGGAUGGGCCCGCGGCCUAUCAGCUUGUUGGUGGGGUAAUGGCCUACCAAGGCGACGACGGGUAGCCGACCUGAGAGGGUGACCGGCCACACUGGGACUGAGACACGGCCCAGACUCCUACGGGAGGCAGCAGUGGGGAAUAUUGCACAAUGGGCGGAAGCCUGAUGCAGCGACGCCGCGUGAGGGAUGAAGGCCUUCGGGUUGUAAACCUCUUUCAGCAGGGACGAAGCGUGAGUGACGGUACCUGCAGAAGAAGCACCGGCUAACUACGUGCCAGCAGCCGCGGUAAUACGUAGGGUGCGAGCGUUGUCCGGAAUUACUGGGCGUAAAGAGUUCGUAGGCGGUUUGUCGCGUCGUUUGUGAAAACCCGGGGCUCAACUUCGGGCUUGCAGGCGAUACGGGCAGACUUGAGUGUUUCAGGGGAGACUGGAAUUCCUGGUGUAGCGGUGAAAUGCGCAGAUAUCAGGAGGAACACCGGUGGCGAAGGCGGGUCUCUGGGAAACAACUGACGCUGAGGAACGAAAGCGUGGGUAGCAAACAGGAUUAGAUACCCUGGUAGUCCACGCCGUAAACGGUGGGCGCUAGGUGUGGGUUCCUUCCACGGGAUCUGUGCCGUAGCUAACGCAUUAAGCGCCCCGCCUGGGGAGUACGGCCGCAAGGCUAAAACUCAAAGGAAUUGACGGGGGCCCGCACAAGCGGCGGAGCAUGUGGAUUAAUUCGAUGCAACGCGAAGAACCUUACCUGGGUUUGACAUACACCGGAAAACCGUAGAGAUACGGUCCCCCUUGUGGUCGGUGUACAGGUGGUGCAUGGCUGUCGCCAGCUCGUGUCGUGAGAUGUUGGGUUAAGUCCCGCAACGAGCGCAACCCUUGUCUUAUGUUGCCAGCACGUAAUGGUGGGGACUCGUAAGAGACUGCCGGGGUCAACUCGGAGGAAGGUGGGGACGACGUCAAGUCAUCAUGCCCCUUAUGUCCAGGGCUUCACACAUGCCACAAUGGCCAGUACAGAGGGCUGCGAGACCGUGAGGUGGAGCGAAUCCCUUAAAGCUGGUCUCAGUUCGGAUCGGGGUCUGCAACUCGACCCCGUGAAGUCGGAGUCGCUAGUAAUCGCAGAUCAGCAACGCUGCGGUGAAUACGUUCCCGGGCC
rnacentral:rRNA from 1 species